rnacentral:rRNA from 1 species
AGAGUUUGAUCAUGGCUCAGGACGAACGCUGGCGGCAUGCCUAACACAUGCAAGUCGAACGGAGAUUAUUUCGAUAAUCUUAGUGGCGAACGGGUGAGUAACGCGUGGGCAACCUGCCCUCUAGAUGGGGACAACAUCCCGAAAGGGGUGCUAAUACCGAAUGUGACAGCAAUCUCGCAUGAGGAUGCUGUGAAAGGUGGCCUCUAUUUAUAAGCUAUCGCUAGAGGAUGGGCCUGCGUCUGAUUAGCUAGUUGGUGGGGUAACGGCCUACCGAAGGCGAUGAUCAGUAGCCGGUCUGAGAGGAUGAACGGCCACAUUGGGACUGAGACACGGCCCAGACUCCGUACGGGAGCGA